GAUGAAGAACGCAGCGAAAUGCGAUACUUGGUGUGAAUUGCAGAAUCCCGUGAACCAUCGAGUCUUUGAACGCAAGUUGUGCCCGAAGCCAUUAGGCCGAGGGCACGCCUGCCUGGGCGUCACACGUCGUUGCCCCCCCCAUCUACUCCUUCGGGAUUGCGGGGGGCGGAUGAUGGCCUCCCGUGCGCCUCGUCGCGCGGUUGGCAUAAAUGCCAAGUCCUCGGCGACGCACGCCACGACAAUCGGUGGUUGCGAAACCUCGGUUGCCCGUCGUGUGCGGUCGUCGCGCAUCGAGGGCUCGAAAAAAUUGCCGGGCUCCGGCUCGGCUUUCAACGCGACCCCAGGUCAGGCGGGGUUACCCGCUGAAUUUAAGCAUAUCAAUAAGCGGAGGA
rnacentral:misc_RNA from 1 species